AUGAAACUGAAAAAUAUGGAUAUGGAAAUAGGUGUCCCUGAGAUCAAUGGUGAUGAGCCAGGAGUUUGGAGUUACUACUGACAAUCUAGAAGCCAGGCAUUCCAUGUGAUGUCUUAAGUGUUAGACCUUUGUUUAGAUUUGAAUGGUGUAAAACAGGAUAUCAACCUCCUGUUGCAUUUGGAACGAGGAAUGGAUUCCGGAAAAGGGUUUUUGAGCUAGAACCGGGUGUUCU